UUCCAGACUCCUACGGGAGGCAGCAGUGGGGGAUAUUGCACAAUGGGGGAAACCCUGAUGCAGCGACGCCGCGUGAGUGAAGAAGUAUUUCGGUAUGUAAAGCUCUCUCAGUAGGGAAGAAAAUGACAGUACCUGACCAAGAAGCCCCGGCUAACUACGUGCCAGCAGCCGCGGUAAUACGUAGGGGGCAAGCGUUAUCCGGAUUUACUGGGUGUAAAGGGAGCGUAGACGGUUAUGUAAGUCUGGAGUGAAAGCCCGGGGCCCAACCCCGGGACUGCUUUGGAAACUGUGUAACUGGAGUACAGGAGGGGCAGGCGGAAUUCCUGGUGUAGCGGUGAAAUGCGUAGAUAUCACGAAGAACCCCGAUUGCGAAGGCAGCCUGCCGCAGCGUUACUGACGCUGAAGCUCGAAAGCGCGGGUAUCGAACAGGAUUAGAUACCCGGGUAU
rnacentral:rRNA from 1 species